GACGAACGCUGGCGGCGUGCCUAAUACAUGCAAGUAGAACGCACAGUUUAUACCGUAGCUUGCUACACCAUAGACUGUGAGUUGCGAACGGGUGAGUAACGCGUAGGUAACCUGCCUGGUAGCGGGGGAUAACUAUUGGAAACGAUAGCUAAUACCGCAUAAUAUUGAUUAUUGCAUGAUAAUUGAUUGAAAGAUGCUAUUGCAUCACUACCAGAUGGACCUGCGUUGUAUUAGCUAGUAGGUGAGGUAACGGCUCACCUAGGCGACGAUACAUAGCCGACCUGAGAGGGUGAUCGGCCACACUGGGACUGAGACACGGCUCAGACUCCUACGGGAGGCAGCAGUAGGGAAUCUUCGGCAAUGGACGAAAGUCUGACCGAGCAACGCCGCGUGAGUGAAGAAGGUUUUCGGAUCGUAAAGCUCUGUUGUAAGAGAAGAACGGGUGUGAGAGUGGAAAGUUCACACUGUGACGGUAUCUUACCAGAAAGGGACGGCUAACUACGUG
rnacentral:rRNA from 1 species